GACGAACGCUGGCGGCGUGCUUAAUACAUGCAAGUCGAACGGAAAGGCCCUGCUUUUGCGGGGUGCUCGUGUGGCGAACGCGUGAGUAACACGUGUGUAACCUGUACUUGUCAUUGGGAUAACACUUGGAAACACGGGAUCAUAUAGGAGAGGAGCUAUUGAUGCACGUUGGGGGAUGGUAAGAUUCGGCGGUUGUGGAUGGAAUCGAGGGUUAUCAGCUUGUUUGUGGGGUAGUGGCUUACCAAGGUUUUGACGGGUAGCCGGCCUGAGAGGGUGACCGGCCACAAUGGUACUGAGGUAGGGCCCAGACGCCAACGUUAGGCAGCAGGGGGAAAUAUUGCGGAGUGGGCGGAAGCCAGAUGCAGCAGCGCCGCGUGCGGAAUGACGGCCUUCGGGUUGUAAACCGCUUUCUCCUGUGACGAAGCGUGAUUGACGGUAAUUAGUAAGAAAGCACCGGCUAACUACGUG
rnacentral:rRNA from 1 species